rnacentral:rRNA from 1 species
GAUGAACGCUAGCGGCAGGCUUAAUACAUGCAAGUCGUGGGGCAGCAGGUUUGUAGCAAUACAGAUGCUGGCGACCGGCAAACGGGUGCGUAACACGUACGCAACCUUCCCGUUACUGGGGAAUAGCCCAGGGAAACUUGGAUUAAUACCCCAUAUUAUAUUGGUCAGGCAUCUGACUAAUAUCAAAGCUUCGGAGGUAACGGAUUGGCUGUAGGUUGAUUAGGUAGUUUGAGGGGUAACGGCCCACCACGCCUACGAUCAAUAGCUGAUGUGAGCGCAUGGCCAGCCACGCUGGGACUGAGAGGCGGGCCCGACACGUACGGGAGGCAGCAGUAAGGAAUAUUGGGGAAGGGAAGCAAGUAUGACCCAGCCAUGCCGCGUGAAGGAUGAAGGUCGUCUGGAUUGUAAACUUCUUUUAUCUGGGGCGGAAGCCGGUUAUUCUUAGCCGUUUGACAGUACCAGAGGAAUAAGCACCGGCUAACUCCGUGCCAGCCGCCGCCGUAAAAC